rnacentral:rRNA from 1 species
AAGCGUAUGUGGGCAGACUUGACCGCGGGAUUCAGCUCGUCUUCUGGCGGGUGUACUUUCUCGUGGGCAGGCCAGCAUCGGUUUCGGGGGUAAGACAAAGGCGACAGGAAUGUGGCUCCCUUCGGGGCGUGUUAUAGCCUGUCGUGUAAUGUUACCACCUGGGACCGAGGACCGCGUUUUUACGAGGAUGCUGGCGUAAUGGCCUCAUACGG